UGGGGAAUUUUGGACAAUGGGCGAAGCUGAUCCAGCAAUGCCGCGUGUGUGAAGAAGGCCUUCGGGGUUGUAAAGCNCUUUUGUCCGGAAAGAAAUCCUUGGCUCUAAUACAGUCGGGGGAUGACGGUACCGGAAGAAUAAGCACCGGCUAACUACGUGCCAGCAGCCGCGGUAAUACGUAGGGUGCAAGCGUUAAUCGGAAUUACUGGGCGUAAAGCGUGCGCAGGCGGUUUGCUAAGACCGAUGUGAAAUCCCCGGGCUCAACCUGGGAACUGCAUUGGUGACUGGCAGGCUAGAGUAUGGCAGAGGGGGGUAGAAUUCCACGUGUAGCAGNGAAAAUGCGUAGAGAUGUGGAGGAAUACGAUGGCGAAGGCAGCCCCCUGGGCCAAUACUGACGCUCAUGCACGAAAAGCGUGGGGAGCAAACAGGUUAGAUACCCUGGGUAGUCCCACGCCCUAAAACGAUGUCAACUAGUUGUUGGGGAUU
rnacentral:rRNA from 1 species